rnacentral:rRNA from 1 species
UGGGCUGGGUGGAUAUAGGGCGUCUACUUGUAGAGCCUGACCUCCACUUCUAACACUGUGCACUUGAUGGCGAGGUAAUGGAACUUUCGAGUGAAACUACCUUGCGGCUUCAUUUUAAACAUUAGUCAAAGUAUGUAAUGAAAUAUUAAAACAAAAAAAAACUUUCAACAACGGAUCUCUUGGCUCUCGCAUCGAUGAAGAACGCAGCGAAAUGUGAUAAGUAAUGUGAAUUGCAGAAUUCAGUGAAUCAUCGAAUCUUUGAACGCACCUUGCGCUCCCUGGUAUUCCGGGGAGCAUGCCUGUUUGAGUGUCAUGAACUCUUCAACCCACCAGUUUCUAGUAGACUGCGUUGGUGUUUGGAUUUUGAGCGUUGCUAGUCUGACUAGCUCGUUCGUAAUACAUUAGCAUCUCUAAUUCGAAUUCGGAUUGACUCAGUGUAAUAGACUAUUCGCUGAGGACACUUUUAUUAGUGGCCGUACUAGAACCAGUAGAAGCUUCCAACUAUUGUAGUCAACUUUAAUUUAGACCUCAGAUCAGGCAGGAUUACCCGCUGAACUUAAGCAUAUCAAA